GUGUGGUGACGUGAAGCAGGUGGUGGCUUUUAGGACUGGAGGUCUGGUGUAGGGUGUAUUAGUGAGGAGAACAUGGAGGGAGGAACUCACCAGGAAAAUUGCAGCCAAUUUCCAGCGGUCAGGAAUUGAAGAUCCAGCAGAGUACGGAAUCAGCUCCUCCAGAGUAGUGGGUUUUUCCAGUUGUAGGUUGAGAUCCAUUCGUGGGUCAUGAAAUCAAGUUAAGGGAUCAUAGUCAUACACAGAAUUUUUUUGUUUGUUUGUUUUUGAGACAGUCUCAUUCUGUCCAGGCUAGAGUCUCUAGUCUCUGCCCAGGCUAGAGUGCAGUUUCACAGUCUUGGCUCACUGACCUCCACCUCCUGGGUUCAAGUGAUUCUCCAGCCUCAGCCUCUCAAGUAGUUGGCGUUACAGGCACCUGCCACCACAUCUGGCUAAUUUUUUGUAUUUUUAGUAGAGACGGGGUUUUGCCAUGUUGGCCAGGCUGGUCUCGAACUCCUGGCCUCAAGUGAUCCGCAUGCCUUGGCCUCCCAGAGUGCUGGAAUUACAGGCGUGAGCCACCACGCCCAGCCAGAAUUUUUUUUAAAAAAAGGAAAUAGAAGAGAAUGUAAGAAUAGAAGUGCAGGUUAAAAGGAACGUUUAAUUUCAUAAAGUUUUUGCCUCAGGGUAGUAUGCUUGUCUGAGUAAUGGGUUGAGAUAGGAACGCAUUUCUUAGUGCAGGUCUUGAUUUCAAAUGUUCGAAAGCCACUGCUCUGGAAAAUAGAGGAGUGGAGACCAAAGUGUGCCCUUUGUGUAUGUGUCGGCAGUGGGGUGGGGGUGGGGGUCUCUGUCCUAGCAUUUGGUUGCAGCACCCCAGGAGUGCCUGUAGGGGAACCACUGACCUCCACUUUUCCAUACGCUUCACACCUUCACACCGAAAUGUGCUCCAUUCCCUUUGCUAUUUUUUUUUCUUUUCUUUUUUUUUUUUUUAGACAGAGUCUAGCUCUGUCGCCCAGGCUGAAGUGCAGUGGCACGAUCUCGGCUCACUACAACCUCUGCCUCCUGGGUUCGAGUGAUUCUCCUGUCUCAGCUUCCUGAGUAGCUGAGACUAUGCCUGGCUAACUUUUGCAGUUUUAGUAGAGACGGGGUUUCACCAUGUUGGCCAGGCUGGUCUCAAACUCCUGACCUUAGGUGACCUGCCCACUUCAGCCUCCCAAAGUGCUGGGAUUACAGGCGUGAGCCACCUCACCCAGCCUGCUAUUUUCAUUAGGAGGAAAAGAGGGAUGGUAGCUUUCAUCCAGAUCCCCCAUCUUCAGAAUGUUUUCAACUUUCCCCAGAACCUCCACAGCGUUAAGUCAGUCAAAAUCCUUGGAUGGACCCUUCCAAGUAGCAAGGGCCACCCUGUCCCCUUUCCCCUGGCCAUGAGACCACGCAGAGCGCAGGGGCCGGAGUCAGAAAGGGCAGUUUGGCCCCUGGGCAGUCUCCUGAGAGUCUUUCUCCUCCCAGUUUCUACUAUUUGGCGGAACCUUGAAUGCAGGGGGGCGGGACAGAGAAAAAACUAGAAAGCUCGACUUCUGCCUGCGGGGCCGGAAGCCCCGCUGCGGCCCCAGCCCGCGGUUAGCCCCUGUUUGUCAUUUUGCAAAUCUGGUCAACCCACCUCCGGUGAAAACUCCCAACCUCACCCCAGGGGGCAAUGACUAAUUACAAAACACAUUUUCUCUCGUUUUCGUCAAGCUCGCUGUCCCGCCCACACAUCCCCCGCCUAUCCCGGCACCCGUCGGCUUCCUCAGGAGCCUCACUCAACUGUGUUGAAUGAACUCUUGGCCUGGUCCCUCCCCCAGAGACUUCACACCGUGGGGUUCUUUCCUCCCUGCUCAGCUUUACUUUCACUUUCUAGUCACUCUCACUUCUCUGUCAGCUUCAGCUUCUCACCCUAGAGCUUGAGCCCUGGUCCUUUCUUAAGGCAGGGGCUAUUGCCCAAGUCCUGGGCUGCACCCAAUUCGUCAAAAGUCUCGAUUCAUCAAUAGUCAAAAAUAUUUAUCAAAUGCAUUCUGUUCCAGGCUCUAGGAAUGCAGUGCAAGACAGGCAAGGUUCUUGCUCAUACAGAGCUUCUAGAAACCUGGGAUACAGAGAUGCAAUCAAGUGAUAAAACACAUGGAUGAAGGCUCUGCCAUUGAACACAUGGUUCUUGACAAGCCCACAGAGAGGCACAGCUAAGCCAGCCCUGGGGAGCCAGGGAGGGUUCCCUGGAGGGAGAGAAGCUGGAUCCAGGUCUGAAAGAUGACUUGAAGUCAGCCAUGAGCAAGGAAGAGAUUUUCCAGGCCAAGCGAACAGCCUGUGAGUGGUGCCAUUUGGGUGAGGCUGGCUGGAGCUCACAGGGUGGGAGGGAGUGCAGGGAGCUGGGGUCCCCAAAGGUGGAAAGAAGCCAGACCCAAAAGGACUUUGAAAUUCUGCUCAGCCAUUUGGAUUUUGUCCUGAGGGUGAUGGAGAUUUGUGAGCCCCAAAUAUCUGAGACAGGUCCCAGUCCCUUUAGAAAGUUUAUUUUUGCCAAGGGUAAGGACAAGCCCAUGACACAGCCUUAGGAGGUCCUGAAGACAGGUGCGCAAGGUGGUCAAGGUACAGCUUGCUUUUAUACAUUUUAGGGAGAUAUAAUACAUCAAUCAAUAUAUGUAAGAUUUACAUGGGUUCUGGCCGGGCGCGGUGGCUCAUGCCUGUAAUCCCAGCACUUUGGGAGGCCAAGGCAGGAGGAUCACCUGAGGUCGGGAGUUCAAGACCAGCCUGACCAACAUGGAGAAACCAUCUCUACUAAAAAUACAAAAAAAUUAGCUGGGUGUGGUGGUGCAUGCCUGUAAUCUCAGCUAUUCGGGAGGCUGAGGCAGGAGAAUCAUUUGAACCCGGGAGGCAGAGGUUGCAGUGAGCCAAGAUCACGCCAUUGCACUCCAGCCUGGGCAACAAGAGCGAAACUCCAUCUCAAAGAAAAAAAAAAAAAGAUUUACAUGGGUUCGAUCUGGAAGGACGGGACAACUCGAAGUGGGGGGCUUCCAGGUCAUAGUUAGAUUUGAACAUAAACUGAUUGGCAAUUGGUUGAAAGAGUUAUUGUCAGCAGAAAGGAAUCUCUGAGCUAUGAUAAGGGGUUGUGGAGACCUAGGUUUUAUCAUGCAGUUGAAGCCUCCAGUAGCAGGCUUUCGAGAGAAUGGACUGUAAAUGUUUCUUAUCAGACAUAAGGUUUGUGUUGAUGUUGAUGUUAGGGGUAUAAUGAGGCUUGGCUUCCCUUCAUGGCCUGAACCAGUCUUUCAGGUUAAAUUUUAGACUGCCCUGGCUGAGGAGGAAGUCCAUUCAGAUGGCUGGUGGCUGGGGGGUGAGGGGUGUGGGGUGUUCCAUACACAGCCAUGGAAGGGCCUCAAGCCAGAGAGACAUAAUAAAUGGAAGUGGGAGGCAAGACUGGACAAAGAGAGACCCGUCAAGAGUUUGUUACAGGCCGGGUGUGGUGGCUCACACUUGUAAUCCCAGAACUUUGGGAGGCCAAGGCAGGCGGAUCACGAGGUCAAGAGAUCGAGACCAUCCUGGCCAACGUGGUGAAACCCCGUCUCUACAAAAAUUAGCUGGGCAUGGUGGCACGCGCCUAUAGUCCCAGCUACUAGGGAGGCUGAGGCAGGAGAAUCGCUUGAACCCAGGAGGCAGAGGUUGCAGUUAGCUGAGAGGGUUCCACUGCACUCCAGUCUGGCGACAGAGCCACACUCCGUCUAAAAAAAAAAAGAAAAAAAAAGAGUUUGGUUGUUGCAGUGGGAAGAUGUGAAUGGACAUGAGAGAUAUAUUUAGGAGACAGGAUUGUGGAUAUGGAGGUUAGAGGAAAGGAAGAAGGGAAGGAUGACUCCAGGUUUCCUGCACAAACCAUGGUCCCCCCUGUUCCCUACAGGAGGAAGAGUUGGAAGAAGAAGAGCGAUAGAUAGAGAGAGGAGACAACAAGGUCCCUCUGGGACAGGCUGAAUUCCAGAUGUCUGUGGGACACUAGGCCAUUGGCUAUGGUGGUCUGAGACCCUAAACAGGGGCCUGGGAUAGGGUUUUAGUCUGGUCACCAUGUACACACGGAGGCAGGGUAUAGAGUGAGAAGAUGGGAUGAUUGAAAGGCCUGGGACACGAGCCAGGGAAACGCAGGAUAGAAAUGACUGGCAGAGGCUGGGCACGGUGGCUUACGCCUGUAAUCCCCACACUUUGGGAGGCCGAGGUGGGUGGAUCACUUGAGGCCAGGAGUUCAAGACCAGGCUGGCCAACGUGGAGAAACCCCAUCUCUACUAAAAUACAAAAAAUUAGCGGGUCAUGGUGGCAUGCACCUGUAAUCCCAGCUACUCAGGAGGCUGAGGCAAGAGAAUCUCUUGAAUCCUGGAGGCAGAGCUUGCAGUGAGCUGAUAUCACGACACUGCACUCCAACCUGAGCGACAGACCAAGACUCUGUCUCAAAAGAAAAAAAAAAAAAAGAGGUGACUGACAGAGAAUGACCCCAGCAAAGGACCAGAGAAGGAGCAGUCCACGGAGGACCACUUGGAGAGGGUGGGUGGGGGGAAACCCAGCUCACAGGAGAAGGUGUGGCCGAUGGUGUGGCAUGCUGCUGAAAGGCCAGAUAAAGAAAAUGGGUACGGCCAAGACCAUAGACCUAGUGAUUGUCAGAUGAACAAUUAGACCCACAGAACCAUCCAAGCUACAGAGGACGCAUUCUGCCUUCCCUUGGAUCCUGUGGUUUGAGGAUGGAGGUCUAGGACCGUGGCAGGCUUUUUGUCCCAUGAGGGAAGGCCAUGGAGCUGAGGAAGGGGAAGAACACACACACCUAAUGGAAUCUCGAGAGAAAGUUCAGACAUCAAAAGACAGAAGCGACAGAGACCCAGAUGGAGUCUCACCCAGCCUGGAGUACAGUAGUAUGAUCUGCAACCUUUGCCUCCCAGGUUCAGGCGAUUCUCCUGUCUCAGCCUCCGGAGUAUCUGGGAUUACAGGCACGUGCCACCACGCCCGGCUAAUUUUUUGUAUUUUUAGUAGAGAUGGGUUUCACCGUGUUAGCCAGGAUGGUCUCGAACUCCUGACCUCGUGAUCUACCCGCCUUGGCCUCCCAAAGUGCUGGGAUUACAGGCAUGAGCUACCGUGCUCGGCCAUGCCUGGCUAAUUUAUAUAUACAUAUAUAUAUAUAUAUAUAUUUUUUUUUUUUUUUUUUUUUUUUUGAGACAGAGUCUUGCUCUGUCACCCAGGUUGGAGUGCAGUGGCAUGAUCUCGGCUCACUGCAAGCUCGCCUCCCAGGUUCACGCCAUUCUCCUGCCUCAGCCUCCUGAGUAGCUGGGACUACAGGCGCCCGCAUGACGCCCGGCUAAUUUUUUGUAUUUUUAGUAGAGACGGGGUUUCACUGUGUUAGCCAGGAUGGUCUCGAUCUCCUGACCUCGUGAUCUGCCCACCUCAGCCUCCGAAAGUGCUGGGAUUACAGACAUGAGCCACCGCACCCAGCCUUAUAUAUAUAUUUUUUAUUAGUGAAGAGGUUUCGCCAUAUUGGCCAGACUGGUCUCGAACUCCUGACCUCAGGUGAUCCACCCACCUCGGCCUCCCAAAGUGCUGGGAUUACAGGUGGGAGCCACCGCACCCUGCCUAAAAUGCAAAAGAUUUUGAAUGGCGAGAAUGGCGACAUGAUGCCACAAGUGGAAAAUUCCACACCUGGCUGCAUGUAAUGGGUUGAAGUCAAAAUGCAGUCAAAAACUUUGUUUCAUGUACAAAAUUAUUAAAAACAUUGUAUAAAAUCACCUUCAGACUAUGUGUAUGUGAAACCUAAGUGAAUUUAAUGGCUAGACUUCAGUUGCAUUCCCAAGAUCUCUCAUUAUGUAUAUGCAAAUAUUUUGAAAUUCAACCUGGUUCCACACAUUUUAGAUAAGGGAUACUCAAGCUGUAAUUAACAAAUAAACUUUUCACAGUCCAAGCAGCCAAAGGCCCACUGUCCCUGUUCCCUCAGCUCACGCCCCCUUCCGUGCACAGCCUUAUCUAAUCCUUCUACCCUUC
rnacentral:lncRNA from 10 species